CUACCCUUGACAUGCCAGGAAGUUGGCCGAGAGGUCGAUGUGCCCGAAAGGGAACCUGGACACAGGUGCUGCAUGGCUGUCGUCAGCUCGUGUCGUGAGAUGUUGGGUUAAGUCCCGCAACGAGCGCAACCCUUGUCAUUAGUUGCUACAUUCAGUUGGGCACUCUAAUGAGACUGCCGGUGACAAACCGGAGGAAGGUGGGGAUGACGUCAAGUCCUCAUGGCCCUUAUGGGUAGGGCCUCACACGUCAUACAAUGGCGCAUACAGAGGGUUGCCAACCCGCGAGGGGGAGCCAAUCCCAGAAAGUGCGUCGUAGUCCGGAUCGGAGUCUGCAACUCGACUCCGUGAAGUCGGAAUCGCUAGUAAUCGCGGAUCAGCAUGUCGCGGUGAAUACGUUCCCGGGUCUUGUACACACCGCCCGUCACACCAUGGGGGCGGGUUUCACCAGAAGUAGCUAGCCUAACCGCAAGGGGGGCGGUUACCACGGUGAGAUUCGUGACUGGGGUG
rnacentral:rRNA from 1 species